GAUCAUGGCUCAGGAUGAACGCUAGCUACAGGCUUAACACAUGCAAGCCGAGGGGCAGCAUGGUCUUAGCUUGCUAAGGCCGAUGGCGACCGGCGCACUGGUGAGUAACACGUAUCCAACCUGCCGUCUACUCUUGGACAGCCUUCUGAAAGGAAGAUUAAUACAAGAUGGCAUCAUGAGUCCGCAUGUUCACAUGAUUAAAGGUAUUCCGGUAGACGAUGGGG
rnacentral:rRNA from 1 species